rnacentral:rRNA from 1 species
GUUCUAACUCAGGUCCGUUAUCCGGAUCGAGGACAGUGUAUGGUGGGUAGUUUGACUGGGGCGGUCUCCUCCUAAAGAGUAACGGAGGAGUACGAAGGUGCGCUCAGACCGGUCGGAAAUCGGUCGUAGAGUAUAAAGGCAAAAGCGCGCUUGACUGCGAGACAGACACGUCGAGCAGGUACGAAAGUAGGUCUUAGUGAUCCGGUGGUUCUGUAUGGAAGGGCCAUCGCUCAACGGAUAAAAGGUACUCCGGGGAUAACAGGCUGAUACCGCCCAAGAGUUCAUAUCGACGGCGGUGUUUGGCACCUCGAUGUCGGCUCAUCACAUCCUGGGGCUGAAGCCGGUCCCAAG